rnacentral:rRNA from 1 species
CAUAUCAAUAAGCGGAGGAAAAGAAACUAACAAGGAUUCCCUUAGUAACGGCGAGUGAACUGGGAAGAGCUCAAAUUUGAAAUCUGGCUGUCUUCGAUAGUCCGAGUUGUAAUCUAUAGAAGCGUUUUCCGUGCUGAACUGUGUCUAAGUCCCUUGGAACAGGGUAUCAAAGAGGGUGACAAUCCCGUACUUGACACAAUCAUCAGUGCUCUGUGAUACGUUCUCUACGAGUCGAGUUGUUUGGGAAUGCAGCUCAAAAUGGGUGGUAAAUUCCAUCUAAAGCUAAAUAUUGGCGAGAGACCGAUAGCGAACAAGUACCGUGAGGGAAAGAUGAAAAGCACUUUGGAAAGAGAGUUAAACAGUACGUGAAAUUGUUGAAAGGGAAACGAUUGAAGUCAGUCGUGUUCAUUGGAUUCAGCUAGUUCUUCUAGUCUACUUCCUUUGAACGGGUCAACAUCAGUUUUGUCCGGUGGAUAAAGGUAUUAGGGAGAUGUGGCUUCUUCGGAAGUGUUAUAGCCUGGUAUCACAUACACU